ACAGGCUGGAGGGCUGGGCAAGGAAGAACCUCAUGAGGUUCAACAGGGAAAAGGGUAGGGUCCUGCACCUGGGGAAGAAGAAUGUCAGGCACCAAUACAGGUUAGGGGUGGACCUGCUGGAGGCAACUUCUGAAGAGAAAGAUCUAGGGGUCCUGGUGGACAGCAAAAUGACAAUGAGCAAGCAGUGUGCUCUUGUGGGCAGGAAGGCCGACGGAAUCCUGGGCUGCGUAGGGAAGAGUGUGGCCAGCAGGUCAAGGGAAGUCAUUCUCCCCCUCUGGUCUGCACUGGGGAGGCCACAACUGGAAUCCUGCCUCCAGUGCUGGGCUCCCCAGUUCAAGAGGGACAGGGAACUACUGGAAAGAGUCCAGCAAAGGGCAACAAAGAUGAUUCAAGGAUUGGAGCAUCUCCCUUAUGAAGAAAGACUGAGAGAGCUGGGGCUCUUUAGCCUGGAGAAGAGAAGGCUGAGGGGAGACCUUAUCAAUGCUUACAAGUAUCUCAAGGGCGGGUUGAAGGAGGAGGGAGCCAGACUCUAUUCAGUGGUUCCCAGUGAGAGGACGAGGGGCAACGGGCACAAGUUGGAACAUAAGAGGUUCCACUCAAAUAUGAGAAAAAACUUCUUCACAGUGAGGGUGGCAGAGCCCUGGGACAGGCUGCCCAGGGAGGGUGUGGAGUCCCCUUCUCUGGAGAUUUUCAAGACCCGCCUGGAUGCCGUCCUGAGUAACAAGCUCUAGGCAAUCCUGCUUUAGCAGGGGAGUUGGACUAGAUGAUCUCUAUGGUCCCUUCCAACUCUAAAAAUUCAGUGAAAUUCAGUACCUUAAUAGGCCUGGAAUUAGAGAAUCACAGAAUGAUACAGGGUUGGAAGGGACCUUUGGAGAUCAUCUCCAACCCCCUGCCAAAGCAGGUCCACCCAGAGCAGGUUGCACAGGAACGUGUCCAGGCGGGUUUGGAAUGUCUCCAGAGAAGGAGACUCCACCACCUCUCUGGGCAGCCUCUUCCAGGGCUCUGGCACGCUCACAGUGAAGAAGUUCCUCCUCAUGUUG
rnacentral:lncRNA from 1 species